UACGGGGGGGGCAAGCGUUGUUCGGAAUUACUGGGCGUAAAGGGCUCGUAGGCGGCCAACUAAGUCAGACGUGAAAUCCCUCGGCUUAACCGGGGAACUGCGUCUGAUACUGGAUGGCUUGAAUCCGGGAGAGGGAUGCGGAAUUCCAGGUGUAGCGGUGAAAUGCGUAGAUAUCUGGAGGAACACCGGUGGCGAAGGCGGGACUCUGGGCCGAUACUGACGCUGAGGAGCGAAAGCGUGGGGAUCAAACAGG
rnacentral:rRNA from 1 species